CCCCCCCCCCCCCCCCCCCGGGCAGAUCCCGAGCGGAUCCCGGCGGCGGGGCCGCGAUCAGCACCACGGACAGCGCCCGGCGGCGCCUCCCCGGCGGGGCUGGAGCGGGACACGGAACCGGGAACCGGGAACCGGCAAACCGGCGCGGGCGGGCAGGACCCUCCGGGACAUCACCGGCCGCCCAGAGCCAGCACGGACUGCUCGCCAGGCCAGGAUCUCAUAGAUGGAUCCAACCCAGAGGUCUCUGAAGAACAGGGGACUCAGGGCAAACUGUGCAGGAGCCGGGGAUGAACCCGCAGGUUCCCGGGAGGAAUCCCCAGGGCCCAGCAGGAGGCAUUAACAGCACGUCUCUCCAGCGAGCCGUGAUGGGAAGAGAACGGAGCAAAAAAAAGAGAGAACUGGAGAACCGAUCUCUCGAAGGAUCCUGGCUGGCAGCAAUAUCAGCAUCUGACUGA
rnacentral:lncRNA from 1 species